rnacentral:lncRNA from 1 species
AGAUUUUUUUUCUUUAACUUUUAAGGAUGCAUUUUGUUCUGAAACUUGAAUGAUAACAUACGUUCCUUGAACUGCAGGUCACGUUUUUUAAUCCAGUUAUUGAAAGAAGACCAAAACUUCAGAGACAGAAGAAAAUUUUUUCCAAACAGCAAGGCAAAACAUUUCUCAGAGCUCCUCAGAUGAAUAUCAAUAUAGCCACUUGGGGAAGGCUGGUGAGAAGAGCUAUUCCUACAGUGAACCACUCUGGCACCUUCAGCCCUCAAGCACCAGUACCUGCCACAGUGCCAGUGGUUGAUGCACGCAUUCCUGAACUGGCGCUGCAAGCCAGG